GAGCCUAUACAUGCAGUCGAGCGGACAGAAGGGAGCUUGCUCCCGGAUGUUAGCGGCGGACGGGUGAGUAACACGUGGGUAACCUGCCUGUAAGACUGGGAUAACUCCGGGAAACCGGAGCUAAUACCGGAUAGUUCCUUGAACCGCAUGGUUCAAGGAUGAAAGACGGUUUCGGCUGUCACUUACAGAGGGACCCGCGGCGCAUUAGCUAGUUGGUGAGGUAACGGCUCACCAAGGCGACGAUGCGUAGCCGACCUGAGAGGGUGAUCGGCCACACUGGGACUGAGACACGGCCCAGACUCCUACGGGAGGCAGCAGUAGGGAAUCUUCCGCAAUGGACGAAAGUCUGACGGAGCAACGCCGCGUGAGUGAUGAAGGUUUUCGGAUCGUAAAGCUCUGUUGUUAGGGAAGAACAAGUGCAAGAGUAACUGCUUGCACCUUGACGGUACCUAACCAGAAAGCCACGGCUAACUACGUGCCAGCAGCCGCGGUAAUACGUAGGUGGCAAGCGUUGUCCGGAAUUAUUGGGCGUAAAGGGCUCGCAGGCGGUUUCUUAAGUCUGAUGUGAAAGCCCCCGGCUCAACCGGGGAGGGUCAUUGGAAACUGGGAAACUUGAGUGCAGAAGAGGAGAGUGGAAUCCCACGUGUAGCGGUGAAAUGCGUAGAGAUGUGGAGGAACACCAGUGGCGAAGGCGACUCUCUGGUCUGUAACUGACGCUGAGGAGCGAAAGCGUGGGGAGCGAACAGGAUUAGAUACCCUGGUAGUCCACGCCGUAAACGAUGAGUGCUAAGUGUUAGGGGGUUUCCGCCCCUUAGUGCUGCAGCUAACGCAUUAAGCACUCGCCUGGGGAGUACGGUCGCAAGACUGAAACUCAAAGGAAUUGACGGGGGCCCGCACAAGCGGUGGAGCAUGUGUUUAAUCGAAGCAACGCGAAGAACCUACCAGUCUUGACAUCCUCUGACAACCCUAAAGAUAGGGCUUCCCUUCGGGACAAAAGUGACAAGUGGUGCAAUGAUUGUCGUCCAGCUCGUGUCGUGGAAAUGUUGGUUAAGUCCCCACGAGCCAUCUGAUCUUAGUGCCAGCAUUCAGUGGGCACUCUAAGGUGACUGCCGGUGACAACGGAGAAGUGGGAUGAAGCUAAAAUACAUAUGCC
rnacentral:rRNA from 1 species